GGGCCCGUAGCCUAGCCAGGAAAGGGCGCCGGCCUCCGGAGCCGGAGAUCCCGGGUUCAAAUCCCGGCGGGCCCG
rfam:Staphylothermus marinus F1, complete genome.